AUUGAACGCUGGCGGCAGGCUUAACACAUGCAAGUCGAGCGAGCGGCGGACGGGUGAGUAAUGUCUGGGAAACUGCCUGCUGGAGGGGGCUAACUACUGGCAACGGUAGCUAAUACCGCAUACCAUCAGAUGUGCCCAGAUGGGAUUAGCUAGUAGGUGGGGUAAUGGCUCACCUAGGCGACGAUCCCUAGCUGGUCUGAGAGGAUGACGAGUCACACGGGAAAUGAGAAACGGUCCAGACGCCUACGGGAGGCAGCAGGGGGGAAUAGUGCACAAUGGGCGCAAGCCGGAUGCAGCCAUGCCGCGUGUGUGAAGAAGGCCUUCGGGUUGGAAAGCACUUUCAGCGAGGAGGCGUUACUCGCAGAAGAAGCACCGGCUAACUCCGUGCCAGCAGCCGCGGUAAUAC
rnacentral:rRNA from 1 species